UACGUAGGGGGCGAGCGUUGUCCGGAAUCAUUGGGCGUAAAGAGCGUGUAGGCGGUUCGGUAAGUCUGCCGUGAAAACCUGGGGCUCAACCCUGGGCGUGCGGUGGAAACUGUCGAGCUAGAGGAUGGUAGAGGGGAGUGGAAUUCCCGGUGUAGCGGUGAAAUGCGCAGAUAUCGGGAGGAACACCAAUGGCGAAGGCAGCUCGCUGGGACGUUACUGACGCUGAGACGCGAAAGCGUGGGGAGCAAACAGG
rnacentral:rRNA from 1 species